rnacentral:rRNA from 1 species
AGCAGUCGCCACGGGAAUACAGAGGGUGCAAGCGUUAAUCGGAAUUACUGGGCGUAAAGCGCGCGUAGGUGGUUUGUUAAGUUGGAUGUGAAAUCCCCGGGCUCAACCUGGGAACUGCAUCCAAAACUGGCAAGCUAGAGUAUGGUAGAGGGUGGUGGAAUUUCCUGUGUAGCGGUGAAAUGCGUAGAUAUAGGAAGGAACACCAGUGGCGAAGGCGACCACCUGGACUGAUACUGACACUGAGGUGCGAAAGCGUGGGGAGCAAACAGGAUUAGAUACCCGCGUAGUCCCUGUCUCUUAUAC